rnacentral:rRNA from 1 species
AGCGAACGCUGGCGGCAGGCUUAACACAUGCAAGUCGAGCGGGCAUCCUUGUGGUGUCAGCGGCAGACGGGUGAGUAACGCGUGGGAACGUGCCCUUCGGUUCGGAAUAACUCAGGGAAACUUGAGCUAAUACCGGAUACGUGCGAGAGCAGAAAGGUUUAUCUGCCGAAGGAUCGGCCCGCGUCUGAUUAGCUAGUUGGUGAGGUUACGGCUCACCAAGGCGACGAUCAGUAGCUGGUCUGAGAGGAUGAUCAGCCACACUGGGACUGAGACACGGCCCAGACUCCUACGGGAGGCAGCAGUGGGGAAUAUUGGACAAUGGGGGCAACCCUGAUCCAGCCAUGCCGCGUGAGUGUUGACGGCCUUAGGGUUGUAAAGCUCUUUUCUCCGGGACGAUAAUGACGGUACCGGAGGAAUAAGCCCCGGCUAACUUCGUG